rnacentral:rRNA from 1 species
CAGGCUUAACACAUGCAAGUCGAGGGGCAGCAUGGUCUUAGCUUGCUAAGGCUGAUGGCGACCGGCGCACGGGUGAGUAACACGUAUCCAACCUGCCGUCUACUCUUGGCCAGCCUUCUGAAAGGAAGAUUAAUCCAGGAUGGGAUCAUGAGUUCACAUGUCCGCAUGAUUAAAGGUAUUUUCCGGUAGACGAUGGGGAUGCGUUCCAUUAGAUAGUAGGCGGGGUAACGGCCCACCUAGUCAACGAUGGAUAGGGGUUCUGAGAGGAAGGUCCCCCACAUUGGAACUGAGACACGGUCCAAACUCCUACGGGAGGCAGCAGUGAGGAAUAUUGGUCAAUGGGCGAUGGCCUGAACCAGCCAAGUAGCGUGAAGGAUGACUGCCCUAUGGGUUGUAAACUUCUUUUAUAAAGGAAUAAAGUCGGGUAUGCAUACCCGUUUGCAUGUACUUUAUGAAUAAGGAUCGGCUAACUCCGUGCCAGCAGCCGCGGUAAUACGGAGGAUCCGAGCGUUAUCCGGAUUUAUUGGGUUUAAAGGGAGCGUAGAUGGAUGUUUAAGUCAGUUGUGAAAGUUUGCGGCUCAACCGUAAAAUUGCAGUUGAUACUGGAUGUCUUGAGUGCAGUUGAGGCAGGCGGAAUUCGUGGUGUAGCGGUGAAAUGCUUAGAUAUCACGAAGAACUCCGAUUGCGAAGGCAGCCUGCUAAGCUGCAACUGACAUUGAGGCUCGAA